rnacentral:rRNA from 1 species
GAUGAACGCUGGCGGCGUGCCUAAUACAUGCAAGUCGAGCGAACAGACGAGGAGCUUGCUCCUCUGACGUUAGCGGCGGACGGGUGAGUAACACGUGGAUAACCUACCUAUAAGACUGGGAUAACUUCGGGAAACCGGAGCUAAUACCGGAUAAUAUAUUGAACCGCAUGGUUCAAUAGUGAAAGACGGUUUUGCUGUCACUUAUAGAUGGAUCCGCGCCGCAUUAGCUAGUUGGUAAGGUAACGGCUUACCAAGGCAACGAUGCGUAGCCGACCUGAGAGGGUGAUCGGCCACACUGGAACUGAGACACGGUACAGACUCCUACGGGAGGCAGCAGUAGGGAAUCUUCCGCAAAGGGCGAAAGCCUGACGGAGCAACGCCGCGUGAGUGAUGAAGGUCUUCGGAUCGUAAAACUCUGUUAUUAGGGAAGAACAAAUGUGUAAGUAACUAUGCACGUCUUGACGGUACCUAAUCAGAAAGCCACGGCUAACUACGUG